rnacentral:lncRNA from 1 species
GUUGGCCAGGAUGGUCUCAAUCUCUUGACGUCGUGACCCACCUGCCUUAUCCUCCAAAAGUGCUGAGAUUAUAGGCAUGAGCCACAAGCCCAGCCGACAUUAUUUUUUAUAUCGUAAUUGCUCUCCAGAGCUUUAUACAAGGUGUGCAUAAUUACCCACUAUGUAUACUUCUCCUGUUAUAAUUUUUAUGGCCAACGUGAUCAACAUGUGCAAAUUGCAUGUAUCAGUCUGAUUCCUUAACUGUGAUAAUUGGAUUCUCCAUGCAAUUAAUUACAGGUAGCAAUGACGUUUUGAGCACCUUAUACGGGUGCUGGACAGUUUUGUUUUGUUUUAGUUUUGUUUUCUAAAUAUGAAAUAGCAUUAAGAAAGUCUAAGUUCUUGGAGCCACACCAGAUUAUAGGGGUGCCUUUCAACAGUAAAUAGCAAUUUUCAUUGUCACACCAACCACCUCAGGACAAGGAAAUCCCCAGAGGAGAUUCAAUGUUUUUAACUUUAUAAGCCAAGAAAUUAAACAUCUCUUUAUUACUAAGUGAUGUUCAUUGGUGUUGGAUUAGAAUGUGAUACAGUUUGAGUGGUGUAUACACUCUGGGGUAUCAUGAACAGUGACUGCCCAACUGCAAAAAAAAAAAAAAAAAAGGAAAAAGAAAAAAAAAGGAGUUUAAUCCAUUCUACAUGAUCAGGUAAUCAGGAAUCAGACUCUGCAUGCUUAAAGCCAAAAUAUGCCUUCCAAAUAUGUGCAUGUGUGUGUGUGUGUUUGUGGGUGAGUGAGUGUGUGAGCCACUUCUGAGCAAAGUGGCGGACUGGAUGGUUGAUCUACUUAUCCACUUAUGGCCACAUUAAUUAUACUUCAACCCCUUGUUUUGUUCAUGUGUGCCAGGAAAUGCAAUGAGUCAAUAUACUUACUGAGAUUGCAGAAGAGACUGAACACUGCGCUAGGCUCUGAAGAGAAAGAUGAAAAAGAAGAAAGUGCUCCUGAGUAUAUGACUACUUGUACUUGCUAGCACUGAGGCAAGUACAAACUCUAGGCAUCAGGCUUUUGGUCUCACUCUUAGCGAAUUUGAACACUGGCUUUUUUGUUGGGCUUCCAUUCUUCUCUCAGCGCAAGAAUACCAACGUUUAUGACCCAGGAAGCACCAACUUAUACUUCACAGAGCUAAGGUGGUCUGCAAAAUUUGCCUUCACAUUUGGAAGACUCAAAAUCUAAUUUUUGAAGGGGUAGAAAUUUGAAAUUGGAGCAAAACCAAAAUGAUAUCAAAGCAAGGCAGGUCCAGAGUGUGUGGAGCAGUUCCAAGACAGCAUCCUUGAAAGACCCAAGCAUCCCAAUAUGAACUCUCAGAGAAACAGAAGAGUUUUACCAAAUAUUUUGGCUCACUUUUAAUGAUAAAAGCAUCAGAAUUUGUGUUAGGCUUCAAAUAUAUACAUCAUUUAUGCUUCAUGUAUUAUCUGCAAGUUAGAAGCAUUUCAGAGAAAAAAAUAAGAACUUACCUUAACAUUCUAUUGGCCACACAGCUUUUCUGAGAAGAUUACAUUGAUUUGGGUAUGACAUCAAGAUGGUGAGACAUGAAAAUUGGCUAGCCAUAUGUAGAGACCUGAAACUGG